rnacentral:tmRNA from 2 species
GGGGGUGACAGGCUUCGACGGGGAUACAUGAGAUUGGUAGAUGCAUGUCGGGAACUAUGUAACCCGUAAACUGCAUAGAAAAACUAACUGCAAACACGCAGAAUUUAGCCCUAGCAGCUUAAUAGGCAGCUAGCGUUUUUAGGUUAUCUUGCCCGUGGGUAGCUUAGAAACGUCACUUUAGCGGGCUGGUCGUUUAGUUGUGAUCAGGGCUAGACGACAAGAAAUACUGAACUAGUUGCUUAUAAUGCUUGUCCUUUCCACUGUUAUAAGCAAUGAAAUUAAUAGGAAGGGAAUACACAUGUAGAUUCUACCGUUGAAGAUCUUCGGACAAGGGUUCGAUUCCCUUCACCUCCAUCA